GACGAAGGGGGCUAGCGUUGUUCGGAAUCACUGGGCGUAAAGCGCACGUAGGCGGAUUGUUAAGUCGGGGGUGAAGUCCUGAGGCUCAACCUCAGAACUGCCUUCGAUACUGGCGAUCUUGAGUCCGGAAGAGGUUGGUGGAACAGCUAGUGUAGAGGUGAAAUUCGUAGAUAUUAGCUAGAACACCAGUGGCGAAGGCGGCCAACUGGUCCGGAACUGACGCUGAGGUGCGAAAGCGUGGGGAGCAAACAGG
rnacentral:rRNA from 1 species